GGGAAUUUUGCGCAAUGGGGGAAACCCUGACGCAGCAACGCCGCGUGGAGGAUGAAAUCCCCUGGGAUGUAAACUCCUUUCGAUCGGGAAGAUAAUGACGGUACCGAGAGAAGAAGCCCCGGCUAACUUCGUGCCAGCAGCCGCGGUAAUACGAGGGGGGCAAGCGUUGUUCGGAAUUAUUGGGCGUAAAGGGUGCGUAGGCGGUUUGAUAAGUUUCAUGUGAAAUCUUCGGGCUCAACCCGAAGCCUGCAUGGAAAACUGUCGGGCUUGAGUAUGGGAGAGGUGAGUGGAAUUUCCGGUGUAGCGGUGAAAUGCGUAGAUAUCGGAAGGAACACCUGUGGCGAAAGCGGCUCACUGGACCAUAACUGACGCUGAUGCACGAAAGCUAGGGGAGCAAACA
rnacentral:rRNA from 1 species